UACGAAGGGGGCUAGCGUUGCUCGGAAUCACUGGGCGUAAAGGGUGCGUAGGCGGGUCUUUUAAGUCAGGGGUGAAAUCCUGGAGCUCAACUCCAGAACUGCCUUUGAUACUGAGGAUCUUGAGUUCGGGAGAGGUGAGUGGAACUGCGAGUGUAGAGGUGAAAUUCGUAGAUAUUCGCAAGAACACCAGUGGCGAAGGCGGCUCACUGGCCCGAUACGUGACGCUGAGGCGACGA
rnacentral:rRNA from 1 species